rnacentral:lncRNA from 1 species
AUUCGCCUAGAUGAAUUGGCUAAGCUGCCAUUGUCCUUAACAGGCAGGAACACGGCAAUAACUGAAGCAUUGAAUGAACUUGGCCUAGUAAGUUCUCUAAUCUUCUUGCUCUCUCCAUCUUUAUCUCUCAUAUUAUAUUCUUCGACUCCUAUACCUAAGAAGACAAAUACACAUGAAAUAUAGAUACAAUAAAAUACACCCAAUGUUCAAUGCACCAAAUCACAUUAUGAAAAGUAUCUAAAAGUAUCAAUACUGAUUUUUUGCCUUACCUAAAGGAUAAGGUAUCCCUAACGGGACUUGGUACAAUGAACUCUAACCAUCAAAUGUGAAAUUACAGAGUACAAGAGCUUUAUUGAAUCUUCGGGCAGCAGGCGCAUAUGAAGAGCAGAAAACGAGAAAUAAAGAAAGGAUGGAAG